GAGCAUCUGCUCCAACGAAAACAAAAUCUAAUUCGAAAAAGGCCUUCGUUGUUUCUCGAAAAUUUCUCUUCCUUCUCUGGCAGCCACCUGGUCUGUAUCAAUCCAGGUUAGCCUCCUCUCUCUCUCUCUCUCUCUCUCUCUCUCUCGUCUCUAUCUCGACCGGCUCCUCUAAUUCUCUCUCUCAUUUCGAUAUUCUCAGUCUCAGUCCCUCAUAUUCUCAAUCUCCGAUCUUUGCUGUCAACCCCUUCAAAUCUUGAAGCGGCUUGGGGUGCUCGCUGUUAUCUCAGUCUCAGGUAAGCCUGCUCUUCCUCAAACAGCCCGGUAUGCGCUUGCCAAUUUAGCAAAAUUUGGGUUUGUUCUGUGAAAUUUAAAUUAGGGUUCAUGUCGAAAGUAAUUUGGGCCUUCGGUUUUUAAUUUUGUCUCUUGGACUUUCUGAGUUAAAUAAAAACGAUUGAUAGCCUAAUUUAGGGUACCUGUUGCUUAACAUCGUAUCUGCCUUUUUCCUUCUCGUCCUUGUGCUUGCUUUUGGGGUUUGAGGAUUAUUGUGCGGUAAUCAGUGGUUGAAUGCUGCCUAUAAAUGUGGUUCAUGAUAUAUAGUUAAUGUGGUACUGGGUUAGAUGUUAUUUGUAUGACUUAGGAAUUGUCUUAUGUUCUGAUCUAUAGUAAAGGAGAUUUCAUUCUGGGUCUUAUGUUCUUUUUUGUAUCCGUAACAGACAACCAGAUUAUAGACAAACAAUUUCUGAUUUUUUGUGAUCAUAAGCUGUUCAAGCAUGGUCUUGUAUUUUUGUGAUCAUAGCCAGACUACUCCAGGGUCAGACACCGCUCAUUCCGAAUCGGAGACUGGGUCAUGCGAAAGGUAUCCCUAGCAACCAAGGAUGCCACGGAAGGAACCCUCGGACCUUCCUGGGAAGGACCAUACGAGAUCAUCGGUAUCCUUCGAUCGGGAACCUACCGCCUAAGAGACUCUAACGGCAAGACCCUCGGUCAUCCUUGGAACGUGGAACAUCUCAAAUACUAUUUCAAGUAACCUAGCCUACGGUAGGACAAAGUUGUAACCUAGCCUACGGCAGGACAAAGUUGUAACCGAUUGAAAUGUAUAUGCCCUUCGGCAGAAAUUAAUAGAAAGCCUUCGGCACUAUUACUUCAGAACAUCUUUUUAAAUUACUCAACUAGCCCACGGCAGCCAAUAGUGGCGACUUAACGUUCUACGGCAUCUUAUUAGCCUACGGCAAUAAAUGUUUUUCGAAAUUGUUACCCUACAGAUUCCAUCGGAACUUUGUCAAUUUCGAAAUCCCUUUAACGUUAUAAAUCCUUUUAACGUUAUAAAUCCUAUACGGAGCCUUUCGGCAAUAGUAAGAUCGGCAAUUGAAACAAAUUCAGAUUGUGCAAACGAUAGAUAAAAACUGCAUUUAAAUUAAGGAUGCCCUCGACAUCAAUAUGUUCAAAGUACAUGAAAAAUCUAAUUUUACAACUAUUACAAAAUAAACAGCAAGAGGCCCUCAGGCUUCGUCACCAGCAGCAGCCUCGGCAGACCCGGAGCAUUCGGCGGUGUCCUCCCCCUCAUACUCCUUGAUCAUCUCCUCGGUUAUCCCUUCCGGUAGGGGUGGAGGGUCGGCGAUGAAGUUCAGUUUCAGCUUUUGCCCAGGGUUGUACCUCUUGAAUCGGUACAACAGGUCCGCCAUCUCCGAGCCCACUUCCUUAUCCAGGAGGACAGUGAACUCUUCGGAUGAACGGUACCCCCUGAUAGCUGACUGAACAGCGGCCUCGAUCUCUGCAGCCUUGGCCCGUUCCGAUUCCGCCAAGGCCACCUGCACCGCUGCCUUCGCCCGUUCCGACUCCUCCAAAGCCGCCUACACUGCGUCUUUGGAAGCCUCGGCAUCCUUCGUUGCCUCCAGCGCCGCCUCCAGGAGACCCUUCAUCUCCUCCACCUGCCGUACGGCAGAUUCUUUCUCCUUUACCAGGUGGGCGUGCUCCUGGAGCGCUUUGCAGGCCUCGGCAACCUUGGCCCUGCCGUCUUCGUACGCCUUCUUGGCGCGCUCGGCAGCAGCGAUGGCCCGCUUGACGCAGAGCCACAUGUCCAUGGACGCCUGCACAAAACAAAGAAGGUCAGAAGCGUGCCCCACAAAAAUAAAAGGACGAAAGAAGAAAGGCAAUCUUACCGAGGCCUGAAGCCGGAAGGCGCGCCCAGCCUCCUCCUGAAGAAACUUCUUCGGUAGCUCGUCGAUCUCCGGCAACUCCAUUUGAGAGCCGAGGAUCAUAUGGUUGACGAACUGGACCGUUUUCACAGGGCAGGCGAUGGUGACAGCCUCGGAAGGACCGUCCUCGUCCUCCACCGCAAGGACGGCCCUGGAAACCUUCGACUGGCGAGGACGCUUGGGGGCUGGCUCGGCCUCCAGAUCGACCGUCUUCGGUUGCUUACCGGCAGCCUUGGAAGCGGCUGCCUCGGCGUCCCGAUGCCUCGGUGCGGUGACUUCAUCGGCAGGGCGCCUCAGAACAGGCUCGGCAUCAAGCUGCCGAAGACGCUCAGCGAGGGUCUGAUCCUCCGGAUCCACCAUCGCCUGCCGAACGGAAGCUACCUCGGGCUGUUUCUUCUUUUUCUUACCCUCCAGGCCCAUCAUCAGGAGCCUCCUGGAGGACUCAUUCAUCUUCUUCGCCUCGGCAGCCUUCCUAGCGUCCGUCACUGGUCAAAGACAUUCGGUCAGUAGACAAGCAAAAGCAAAAAAAAAGAGGAGAAGAAAUGAUAUACUUACUCUCGGCAGGGUUAACAAGGCCGGCUCUGAUGAGGUUGUCGGUGAAGAGGAAGCGUGGAUAAACUCGCUCGGCAGCGGGUACUCUUAACCUCACUCUGUCGAGCUGCCGGAUCUCACUUAGCCUGGGGCUCGGCUGCUUGAGUUUGCUUGUCAUACAAAGGAAAAUUAGUAAAAUAAAGCAACAAGAAGAAAAUCCAGCCUACCGAUCGGAAGUUCGAAAAACCUACCGGCAAUCUGGAAUGUCGUGGGGAUCGGGAAGCUAAGGGGUGUUCCCGAUGGCGAUUCCCAAUUACCGGAGAGCAGCACCCGCCGAUUCCUCCACGACUUCUGAGAAGUUAGCACUGAGCUGACGAAAUGCCCCCUCUCGGAAGCCUUCAGGCAGUUCGCCUGAACCCAGCCACCGUGAUCGGCGCUCUUGGAUUUGGUAACGCUGUAUAAGUACGAGAACUGCUCGUAGGAAGGCUCCCCCUCCUCGACAAUCCCGAACGCAGCUAUUACCCCCAUCAAGGCCACCCAGAAGUUAAGGUUGUACUGGCCUGGAGCGUACCCGAUCUGCGCGAGGAUCUUCUGCACGGCAGGCUGAAACGGCAACCGAACCCCUUGCAGAAGAACAUCGGUGAAGAAGGUCACCUCACCGUUCGCUGGGUCGCUAAGGGAUUAGACCGGGCUCGAUAUCCUCAUCUUCACCGAAUCAGGAAUGAGGUACUCGGCCCGAAUCCUCUCCAGCUCUCACUCCGUGAUCUUGUUGGGCUCUAGGUAGUAGACCCUGAACAGAGGCCUCUGGGGCACACCCACCGGUAUCCUAGGCUGCUCUCAGUGGAUGAUCGUCAUCCUCGGCCGAGAGGGACCGGCAACGCCCUCAACGCGACCGGAGGUGGAGGCCUCAGGCUGAUGCCCCAACGGGCCGACGCGGGUACCAUCCUUGGACACCGCGGCCAAGGGUAACGGUUGCCCCUUCAUCAGGCCCUUACCGAUGCCAUGGGUGGGAAUGGAGUUCACCUCCUCACCGAAUAAUUCAAGAUCGGUGUCUUCUCCACCCUCGGCAUUGAGGCUUACAGCCCUGCUGGACGUAUCCCAUCCCGAGGACAACACCCCAUCGAACGCGUUGGGCUCACUGCUGAACGGUGACUCGCUAUCGGACAUCUACAAAACAAAGAAAGGAAACCUAAGGCCCGUGCCACAAACUAACCUAUCGAUACCUACGUCGCUACCUAUGGCCACUAGACUACCGAAGGAAAAUCCUACUUAACGAUCGGCUAGCCUAUGCCAUGGAAAGACGUAUAAUUACAUAAAGAAAGAAUAUUCAGGGAGUACCGAACGGUAUCUUACCUUGAGUAGUGUAGGAUGAUUGGAUUGCAGUUCACUCUCGUCGGAAAUCGCCCAGUGUACCGAGAACCGCACUAAAAAAUCGCCUUGAUUGCCGUUCGCUAUCUUCGGAAAUCGCACUCACAGAGCUCUCGCUUCAACUCACAAUUGCAAAGUGAGCCUUACAUCCGGAGUCACCUCUAUUUAUAGGGAGAGAGUUUGUAACGGUACGCCUCGAAAGACUAAACGGCCCAUCAAUGCGCCGUCAGACGUGCUUUCGCUAGCCACGCGUCACCCAAUGAAUGGCGCCGCAGACUGCACGCCGGGCACGGAAGACGAAGCGCCUCUCUGCCCCUAAACCCUCUCAGCAUCAACGACCCCUCGAGUCCCAGGCCAAUCUCCUCAGAACGAACCUACCGAACGGCAGGUUAUCCUCCGAACCGCCAUGGCGAACUAAAUUCCCUUUCGAAGGACCUUCAGAAGAGAACUUGGGGGGCUACUGUUUAUACCGGAAAUAAACGGCCUAUGACCACCGAACACGUGGACAGGAUCAACAUUGAUCACAGAGCCCCUUCGGCAUGCUCCUUACCGAAGCCAUGUAUCUUGGCCCUUAUACCAUCGGACACGUGUCAUGCUCACAAUCCAUGUCCAGAGUCCCACAUCAGAAAUAUGAGCACAGUGCACACCUCCUAAGGCCUAUUUAAGAAGACCCCUAUCCCCAAAAGGAGGGGAUCAGAACUAACGGUACGCUAUCGAUUGAUCUGUCAGUUAACUUUACUAAAACCGUACUUACUAAAGCAUCGGAGAGCCUUUGGCCGGUACCACACCGGUACCCCAAGGACUUACCGAACGUGACCUUUUGUAGGUACUUACCCUUCUGCAGUAGAACAUCUACCGAGGACAGUCACCUACCGAAGGCCUUAAAUCACUAAGUUGAGGAAAUACGUGUAGAACCACUUUUUCGCAUCAACAAAAGGGGUUAUAGUCAUUUCUUACGACGCAUUUAUUUAUACAGACGACGUUGUCAAUGGAGUGCAACGUCGGCUGUAAUUAAAAGAUAGUCGUGUUUUCUAAUUUAUACGUCUCUUUAACAAAAGGAGCAUCGUCGCAUUCCUCUUAGACGGCUCAGUUUGUUAGUCGAUCGUCGUGUAAAAUAUUUGUAACGAAGCACAAAGCACACUUGGUGGCGAAAGGUUACAAGCAAGAGUACGGCGUUGACUACACAUAAGUAUUUACGCCAGCGGCAAGGCAUGACACAAUCCAAUUGGUGAUUUCAAUGGCGGCACAGAACUCAUGGCCUAUCUUCCAGCUAGAUGUGAAGCCUACGUUUUUACAUGGUGAGUUGCAAGAGCAGGUUUAUGUUGAGCAGCCAGCGGGUUAUGUUCAGCCAGGGAAGGAAAGAAAAGUUUAUAGACUAAAUAAGGCUUUAUAUGGGUUGAAUCAAGCUCCUAGAGCCUGGUGCAGCCGUAUAGAGGCAUAUUUUGCAAGAGAAGGUUUUCAAAAAUGUCCAUAUGACCAUACACUCUUUACAAAAUCUGGAGAUGAAGGGCAUAUACUCAUUGUGUGCUUGUAUGUGGAUGAUCUGAUCUAUACAGGUAAUGAUGUGGCCAUGUUUAAUGAUUUUAAGAAAUCCAUCAUGCAUGAGUUUGAUAUGUCUAAUAUCAUAUUGAUGCACUAUUUUCUUGGCCUAGAAGUAGAACAAUCUAGUGCUGGAAUAUUUAUUUCAUAGAAGAAAUAUGGUCAAGAGAUCUUAGACAAGUUUGAGAUGAAGGGCUGCAAUUCAGUUGGUACAGAUUUGUAGAGAAGUAUGAUGUAUUUGACGGUGACUAGGCCAGACACACAACACGAAAUGAGUCUCACUAGCAGAUACAUGGAGUGUCCGCAAGUGCCUCAUUUGGCGGCAACAAAGAGAACUUUUCGUUACUUGAAGGGCAUAAUCGAUUUUGGAAUAUUAUACAAGAAAUGAGCUAAUUCAGGAGACCUAGAUGAUAUGAGAAGCACAUCAGGUUAUGUAUUUAUGAUGGGAACAUGAGUCAUUUCAUGGUCAUCCAAAAAAUAACAGAUUGUCACUCUGUCAACCACCAAAGCCGAGUUUAUUGCAACAACAACCUACGGCUGUCAAGACGGUCCAACUCCUGUCUAUUGUGAUAAUAGUUUAGCAAUCAAGUUGUCAAAGUCUUUAGGAGUCUCCCAGUAGUGGAGCAGUUUGUUAGUAGUGUCAAUAAUGGAUUAAGUUAGUAGGAGUCAUGUCCUUGAAUUCAACAUAGUCUGGAGAUGUAACGUUCCAUUUAAGUUCAACUUUAUCAAUAUGCAAUCAUGCUUUCUAGCACCUUUUCUCACUUCUGUUUGGAUUUUGAAUUUAACUCUACAUCGGCAUCAAUUUCAAGGCGCAGAUUGGUAAAUCAUAGUUAUCUUACGACACCCAGCUCCAAAUUCAUCAGGGCACCCAUCCACCCCGUAUCAGUCUGAAGUAAGUCUCACCAGUUACCCCUUCCAUAUUGAUCGACAAUUUUUCUGAUCACCUACCGCCAAUCUGUGGGCCGUUUGACAUAGGCUUCAAACUCUCAGCGUAGGUUGAAGACAUUUCUCCAACUGCUUCGGUUGGAUGACGACGGAGCUUGAAGACAUUUCCCAAACCAAUCUACAACCAUCGGCAACGCACUUACCGAUCGGCAAGCUGACCACUGCACCUCCAUGAGCACUCACACAAUCUUCGAUGAUAGGCAACACCCUCAACAACACACUUUAGAUGCUCAUAUGACACGCGUGACGUAACACCUGCCAUUCGGCAAGUGUCGUGCUAAGCAUGCAGGAGGCGCUCGCACAAACACCUUCCAGGCCUAUCACCGCUCCUACCGAUUGUAGGUAUAGGACAACCCCAAACCAUCUCCAAACCCAUCUGCAACUCCCUUGCCGAUCGAAAAGUGUGACGUCACACCUUACCAUCAGUAGGCCGUCAACCGAAGGUAUAAGACAACCCCAAAACAAUCCCCAACAGAUCGGCAAUCCCCUUACCGAUCCGCAUCAAUAUGAAGCCCUGCAUCACCAUCCUUACAUGCCGAUCCUUUUCACAACAAUAUGAUGAACACGCUUUUUUCAUCAGAUUGCAUUUUGGGCUGGAUUAUUAUUUGGAGUUGAAGGGCCCCACAUGGGAAUUACAGGCUUCAUUAACUCAUGCAUUUUUCAAAGCCUUUUGGGCUACAUGGGCCUGUCACUUUUCAAGGUCAGCAACACAUACCAAUUUUGUAAUGAUCCCGUAAAUGCUAUAGUUUUAAAUAAAUAAAAAAUGCACAUUUACAUUUCUUCCCUUUAGCACCUUGCCAAGUUUCAUGCCCACCGACAAUUUCCUUGUAAUGCACAAGUCUCAUGCAAGCAAGGUCUAAAAUAUCGAUGAUAUUGGAAAUAUCUGUAGUCUAAAAAUAUGGAAAUUUCGAUGGAAAUAUCGGGAUAUUAUCGAUAUCGAUAAAAAUUGAAUAAAAACCACGGAAAUUGUAAGAAAAACUUGGAAAUUUUUAUUGAAACUUUGGAGAAUGCCAAUUUAGUCAAUUAUCUAUGAGUUUAUGACAAAAAAUUAGAAGGAAAUGCAUUGCAUGAUGGAUUUAACUAAUUUAAGUUGAUUAUACAGCAAGCGGGCAAACACUAUGAGUGUAAAAAAUAUGUAAUAAUUAAUGAAAAAAGAUUAAAUACACCGUAAUCAUUCAUAUAUAAUGAUUUACUAUAAUAUUUUACACUUUAUACAUUGCAUGGUAAGAUACAUGAAUGACUUAGUACCACAUAGAGUUCCUACGAAGUUCAAAUUUUUCACUAUCUUCAUCAUCUCUAUGUGUAGAGUAAGUGUAUUGUGAAGAGUAGUCAUCAAAUGAUAAAUCCCCAAAAUAGUUUUGCAUGUAAUUGUUAACAUACCACCCAUAUAAAUAUAAAUAUUUUAGCAUAUUAUCACAAAAACAUAAGUGAUAUGGUGUUUAAGGUGUUGGAGGAGUAAAAUGGGAGGGGUUCAUAUCCCCUUUGUGCUUUUUUCUCCCCUUUUUCCCCUUUUUUUCUUUUAAUAACUUUUUUUUUUCCUUCACAUCGAUAUUUUCGAUAUUUUCGAUAUUUUAGCGAUAUUACACCGAUAUUUUGACAAAAUAUUGCUGAAAUGUGAGCGAAAUUAUCGACAUCGAUAUUUUCCGAUAUUAUCGUCGAUAUUGUCGAUAUUUAUACGAUAUGUACAUGGAUAUGUUCCGAAAUAUCCGUGAUUCAAAAAAAUCGAAAUAUCCUCGAUAUUUCCUCGAUAUUAUCGAUAUUUCAGACUACGCAUGCAAGUGCUUUCGGCACUCACCUUACCAAGUUUCAUGCCCUUUGGCAAUUUCCUUGCUAUAUGCAAGUCUCAUGCAAGUGCCUUCGGCACCCCGUACCUUUCAACACCUUACCAAGUUUCAUAACCUCUAGCAAUUUCCUUGCCACACGCAAGUAUCAUGCAAGUGCCUUUGGCACCCCCAUGCCUUUCGGCACCUUGUCUUGCGACAUACAAGUUUUGUGUCUUCGGCACCCCUCACUCCCUUUGGCACCUUGUCUUUGCAAUUUGCUCAUACGAUCCGCGUGACGUCACCCCUGUCGAUCAUGCAAGGGACUCUCACUUGACAAGUACAUGAUGUCAUCCUGCCGAUCGACAAGCACAGUGCCAAUCAAGAAGAAGAUGCUUGCACAGUUCACGUGUCCUUCGGAAGUCAUCUUGUGUCACUCAAGUCGCAUGCCUUUCGGCAACCACCUUACGACAUGCAAAUCUUGUGCCUCCCGCAUACUAUGAUGCCCUUCGGCACCUUAUCUUUAGACAUACAAGUCUUGCGCAUUUGGCACCCCUCAUGCCAUUCGACUUUUGACUUGCGACAUGCAAGUGUUGUGCCUUCAGCACCCCUGCCAUUUGGAGUAUUAUGAUGCUCUUCGGCACCUCACAAGUUUGCCUUUCAGCAAUUACCUUGCGACAUGCAACCAUGCCCUUCAGCAAUCACCUUGCGACUUGCAAAUUUGCCCUUUGGCACCCAACCUUAUGACAUGCAAGUCUUUUGCCCUUCGGCAAUUCCCUUGUGACACGCAAGUCUUGUGCCUUCAACACCCUUGUCCUUUCUGCACAUUCUCUUGUGGCAUGCAAGUUUUGUGCCUUUAGCACUUUGUCUUGCGACAUGUAAGUCUUGUGCCUUUGGCACCCCCUACCCUCUGGCAUACUAUGAUGCCCUUUAGCACCCUCGCCCUUUGGCAUAGUAUCAUGCCCUUAGACACAAUUACAUAACACAUGGGGGACUUGCUAACCACUUAGGUUUUUGUUCCAACUUCUCUCCCUCCAAUGUCCUUCCUACCCGAGGACAUGGGAGAGUGGGGAUAAUGCACUAUACGGCUUGAAAGAUGAACUAUAGUGUUGCUCAGCUAGUGCACUUAAAAUCACAAAUCCCCAAGCAAGAAAUACCUUCUUACUCGCGAACUUGGGGGACUACUAUUGGUACAGUGACUAAUCAAGCAACUAGCUAGGCAAGAUCAGCCACGUGCCAUGGUUUGAGAGGUCGUCACCUUAGCCAAAGAAGCCUUGCCACAAGUCACAACUAAAGGCAAUGUUAAGAUUCCCACAUUGGAAUACUACAAGAUGUGGAGACUCCCCUUCACCUAGAAAAGAAGACCACUCUCCACUUAGAAAAGGGUCUUGACUUCUGAGUCUUGACCCUUGGGCCUUGGACUCUUGGGCUUUGUACCUUAGGCCGUCUUCUCUUUAUCUUUGGGUCUAAUACCCUUGUACAAAUGUAAAUAUACAUUAUCAUAAUACAAACAUCAUUCUCCAAGGACGUAGCCCAUUAUUCUGAUGAACCACGUAUACCUUGUCUUCUGCAUGCUUAUUUACUUUACUUACGCUGAACGUCAUUGACUACCAAAGACAGUCUCUUGCCUUACCUCCCGAAGGCAUAUACACAUGCUAAAGGCUCACGUAUUCACACAUCAUCCACUACUCCACAUCUAUCUAACUUGAAUCCCAUUUUGGGCAUCAACAGCCUACAUAUAAAUGAAACGAAAUGUUGAAAGUCUUUAAUUUUCGUUUAUUGUUGUUGUCAUGGUAAUUAAUUAUGUUUUUUUUCCCUCUUCUUUGUUACUAUCUGAUUACCUAUGUUUUGGUUCAAAUUUAUUUUAUUUUUUGAGUAUUUUUCUCUAUUCUUCGUACUCUAGGAAUUCUGGAGAAAUUUGGUGACAAUAUGAAAAGAUAAGAGAGAGAAUAGAAAUUUGGGAAGCCCAUAUUUGUUUCAAUUGAUUUCUAUAAAUUGAAGUGGUUGUUUUACAAAAAAUAAUGUAGACUUUAGAGCUAUCAGAAAAAAAAAAAUGGAGCCUGAGAAGUCAGGCUUAAAGAAAAGUGUUAUUUCUCAGUCUCUGAACGAUGUGGCCUAAAGUUUAGCAGAUGAUGACCUUGUUUUCUAAGAGAAGAUAGGAACUUCUAUAAGUAGAUGCAAAACACUGACCCAAUCAAUACAUCACCAAUAGGUUAGUCUAAAAUAAAUACAAAAUUAAACAAUAUAAUAGUUUUGUUGGUCCCUAUUUUCGACACUCUGUCUCUUCCGGAUCGAGCUGCUCUAGAGAGUAGGAAGGCUAUCGGGUCGACACCAAUGCCCUGAUUAGAUUUCUAGCUCGCGAGAGGAUUCUUUCAACUCUUAAAAAAAAUUGAAAGUUGGAUUAGGUUGACAAGGACGGACGAGCUCGGGUUGGGGUCUGAUGAUUUUCUUCUCCUAACCUGAUCGCAGAUUACGUAGGGGUGCCACUAUUGGGUAUGAGACCAGCCAAAUAGACCUAGUAUAUGCGAACAGGAUAUCUGUUUAGUGGAUUCGCGUUUGUUCUAGACUUCUGAUCAAGCCAUUAUUCUCCAAGGGGAGUAGUGGCUUGGAUGAGUUCUUUUCUAUGCCUCAAUCAAGAUAACUUUAAUAUUCUUUCACUCAUGCAUUGUUGGUUUAAUAGAUAGGAAGGGCACCUGAUCAAACAAGAAGGAAACCAAUGUUGUGGUUAAUGCUCCCCCAUUUGGGUUCAAAAACCUAACUUGAACCUGAGAUGACCCUAGACCGGGUCAAGAUUCAGCCGAUUCGGGCCCAACAAUGCAGUUCAGGCCCUGACAAGACCUUACUUUCAGACUAAUAAAGCCCUAUUCAGGCCUAAACCCUUAUCGUGGGUCUGAAUAACGAUAGGCUAAAUAUGCAAGGGUAGGAAAAUAAGUUAAUCUACAAGAGUGUAUAAAGCAACUAAAUAGCAGUUAUUAAUGAUGAUUCAAUAAGUAAAGAGGUUCAGAUGUUGGAGAUCCCUCUAUCCAACUCUAGUACAAAAUAAAAAUGAAAGCCAAAGAUUUCUCUAUUUAGCUAAUUUUAAAUACCAGUUACAAUGUAGAAGAAGCUUGAGAUUUCUCUAUCCAGUUUGAACAGAAUAUAUGUUUAAAGAAAUUCAAACAGAUUGUUUUAACAAGAAUCAUACCAUAAGAAUGGCAGAGCAACAAAAGAAAAACGUAUGAGUAGUCAACUGGUUAUCUGAACAGAGAGUAGGCUAUUUGAAAAGAUCUUCAAGUUUUUUCAACUGUUUUUGAGACAUUGCGUCUGGUUUUUGGAGAGAGAGUCCCCUUUUGUUGUUGUAGAGCCUCUGUAUUUAUAAGCAAGAAUUCCUAAUGAUGAAGGCUGAAAGAGGAUAUUUGGCUGCUAUCCAAAGUCAGAUGUUGAUCUGCCUUUAUGACCCGGUACAUAGGUGGGAGGAAUGUUAUGUUUCCUAUUAAGAUCGGUGCACUAGAUACUAAGUUAUACUAGGUUUUGAUAAAAGUUUAAAUUAGGUUAUACCUUGAGGCCCAAAACCUUGUGGAAUAAGGAAAGGUUUUGAAGCCUAUGAAAGGGUCAUAUUUAUUUCCUUUUUUGCUUGAAUCGUUUUGGUGGGCUUGGAAGGUUAGUCAAGUUCGCCCUCGGUGAUGAGUAGAGAUGACUUGACUUAGCCCUAUAUAAGCUUAAGACCCUCCUCUCAUCAGACACGUUCUCUAACCUUAAUCUUAUCAUAAGGAGAAAGCUGAAACAGAUUUUGAGAGAGAGCAAAAGUCUUGAGCCAUUCCUGUUCUUGCUACGAUAUUGCUGUUGUGGAUGAAUGAGUUCAGAGGUCGUG
rnacentral:lncRNA from 1 species